rnacentral:lncRNA from 1 species
UUUUUUUUUUUCCUCCCCCACCUUCUCCACAUCCACCCCGUCCUCUAAAUACACACAUAAAUGGCGAGGAGGUGGCCCCCGGGGGACAUGGGGUGGGCUCGAAGAGGUUGGGGGGUGAGGGGUAGCUCCCCGCUCCCCCUCACAGUCAGGGAUCGGUCCCCAGUCCCAGCAUCAUUCCCUGCUCCCAGCAUCUGUCCCCACACCAGGAUCAUCAGUUCCACUCGCUGCCAUCCAUGGAAAAAGGAAAACCAACCCCGGAGCCAUGCCCGUGCUCGGCUGGCCCCCACAGCCCACCGUGCAAGUGGCCCACGGGCGAAGGCUCAGACUGUUUGAGGAUAAACUAAAACUUCAGCACUUCAGGUGGCCGUGCGUGCCCAUCACAGCCCGCAUCAGUACGAAGAGCUCAUCCCCGGACUUGCAGCCGGUGCAGGGGUUGCACAGAUGGAAGCCGGCUCCAGCCCUGCUGAGGGAUGGAGUUCUCCAAAAUCUGUCGGUGUGAAGGGGAUCAGAAAGAGGGGCCUGCUGCUACACUCACUUUGCAUUUCGCCCAGCCACAGCUGGGGUGCAAAGAAAGCCCUGAAGCUGCAGGAGGGGUUUUUACUAUUUGGAGGAAAUCAAAAAUUAAAAGGAGGAAGGACAAAAGUGAAAGGGGCGAAGCUGAAGCUCUAGGUCCUGGGUGAGGAUAAAACACCUCCGCUGCUCUGUGUUGCUGCAAUAUCUGCUCAUCACGGGAAUGGAUAUCCUGCCUGUCACCAAUACAGGAACGUAUUGGUGUAAUUAAAGCAUAGUUUGGGGGGAAAAAUAUCCUUUGUUAGUCAAACUAAUAUUUUGAAGACAGACAAGUCUGGAUGCACAAAACCUGCAGAAAGAGAGAUGAUGAAGGGCUUUGGGGUCUAAAAAAUUAUUUACUUUUCCUAUCCAUGUUAGCUGACCUAAUAGAAGACAGUUUGCACUGAAAACCUCACUGAGGACUACGCUCAGCAGGAAGAUUGUACAGAGGACAAAGUGCCAAGCUGCCACCUGUCACAUGCCAGCGAUAUUCUGAUCUGUAGGUCUAGGCACUGCACUGCCUUCCCUCUAACUGGGCUGCAAACUCAGGUGAGCUCAGGUGAAAAGCAAGAUUUAGCUUUGCUUCCCCAGGAAAACUCGAGCACAACAAAAUAAAAAACUGCAUCAAGACA